GUACAUAUUAAAAAAAGAGAAAGAAAGGUCCUCCAUGGAAAUGAGUUAUGCUACACAUACAGAAUUUUUACACAAGAAAUUCUUCACAAACACAGGUGUCUAAACACCAUUCAAAGAUGAGAAAAAAACAUAAAAUAUAGACGGACGGAGUUUUUCCAUUUCAAAAUCCUGUAUGAAUUCUGUAAGUUUUCCUAUACUCGAGGAAAAAUCCCGGGGAAAUUGCUUUACCAAAGGACGAAUUUGAGAUCAAAUGGAGAUAUAUGAUUAAACUGAUAUUCUCAAGCUCAAAAGACGAUAUGAAUCUAUGAUUUUAGAUUUUGUAGCACCUUCUACAAAUGAUGAAAGUUAUUUCAUUCCAAGUCCACAAUUUUCCCAGUUGUGCAGCUCUAUAGAGCUAGUCUUUUACUCGUAGUAGAACUUCACAACCAUGGUCUCUCUUGCAAUAUUAAAUCCACAUUUGGUCCCUAUUUUUAAAAACUCGUUUUUUUGAGGCUAAUUGUAACCCUCUAAAACUUGAGUGCCUAAACUUAUGAAGUUCUCGUAGUGUAACAAGAGAGCUACUCGAAUGUUAGAAUCAAGAAUAAUGAUAGUCAAUUCCACCGCAAGAUCAAUGAUACAUUGUCCAUCGAUGGAUGUAGUGGAAUAGCAUUAUUCUAGAAUCUAUACAUCCUUCCAUUGAAUCUGCCAGUUACAAUUCAUCUAGAUAGAAUUAUUCUAAGAUAUAGAUGCAAACAAGGAAAUAUUAGGGAUUGAAACUUGAUUUAACUGAAAAGAUAAAAGACAACUCUCCAUUAUUCACUACACACUACACUACUUGUUACGAGUUGAAACGCCGAAAUCUAAAAUUACGAGAAACCAGAAAGAGAAUGAAUAUACGGAGACGAAAAGACGGGGAUUCGAAGGGUGAAAUAAUCAGAAAAAAAUGUACGGUCGAUCUAUGGCGCGGAAACUCUGACGAAUCUUGGAGUAGAAGCAAAAGGAAGAUUUCUGAGGAUGAGAAAAUGAACCCGCCGGGGAAAAGGCAGCGGCGCCUGGUGGAACACGAGCUCCAAAGCUCUGGUCAGCAACAUGGUGUACUCCUCCAAAUACUCCGUCACUAGCGCCACCGGUAUCAUGAUUUCUUCUAAUCACCUACGCUUUACAACGUUAGUGCUUAGAUCCUAUUAGGUAUUUUUUCGAACUCUCUGUAACAAAAAAUGGUUAAAUAGUAGAGUAGUAGAUUCUAUUUCAGGGGGAUGGACAGAGAGAGAGAGAGAGCGCACUUGUACGAGCUCCCUUGACAUCUGUUUGAUUUUUUUUAUUUUUUAAUUAGAUAAAAAUUUUGCGUAUGCUUAUCCAUUAACUUCUGG
rnacentral:lncRNA from 1 species